rnacentral:rRNA from 1 species
AGCAGCAGCCACGGUAAUACAGAGGGUGCGAGCGUUAAUCGGAUUUACUGGGCGUAAAGCGUGCGUAGGCGGCUUUUUAAGUCGGAUGUGAAAUCCCUGAGCUUAACUUAGGAAUUGCAUUCGAUACUGGGAAGCUAGAGUAUGGGAGAGGAUGGUAGAAUUCCAGGUGUAGCGGUGAAAUGCGUAGAGAUCUGGAGGAAUACCGAUGGCGAAGGCAGCCAUCUGGCCUAAUACUGACGCUGAGGUACGAAAGCAUGGGGAGCAAACAGGAUUAGAUACCCCUGUAGUCCCUGUCUCUUAUCA